GACGAACGCUGGCGGCGUGCUUAACACAUGCAAGUCGAACGGUGAACUCCGCUUGCGGGGGGAUCAGUGGCGAACGGGUGAGUAACACGUGGGCAACCUGCCCUCAGCUCUGGGAUAACUCCAAGAAAUUGGGGCUAAUACCGGAUAUGACCGCUGACCGCAUGGUCUGGUGGUGGAAAGAUUUAUCGGCUGGGGAUGGGCCCGCGGCCUAUCAGCUUGUUGGUGGGGUAGUGGCCUACCAAGGCGACGACGGGUAGCCGGCCUGAGAGGGUGACCGGCCACACUGGGACUGAGACACGGCCCAGACUCCUACGGGAGGCAGCAGUGGGGAAUAUUGCGCAAUGGGCGAAAGCCUGACGCAGCGACGCCGCGUGGGGGAUGACGGCCUUCGGGUUGUAAACCUCUUUCAGCAGGGACGAAGCGAAAGUGACGGCACCUGCAGAAGAAGCACCGGCCAACUACGUG
rnacentral:rRNA from 1 species